AUCUUGAGGAGAUGAUCUUACCUCAUGACAGCCAGUCCAGUGUUUUUGCCACCUGACCAAACUUCCAGAAGGACCUUGAUAACCAGCUUGAUGGUCAGAUUGUCCAUUUCGAUGACUUUGUCGGUAUAGAGUUUCUCCAGAAGUUCACACAAUGACUUGGCACCCUGGCCUGUGACAUCAUUGGCCUUCCAGGGAAGCGAGCUGAAAACACCUGCAAAGGGCACAGGAGGAAAACAAAAAGACCUCUGAGUAACCAGCAUGAAUUCUACACUGCAGCAAAGCUUGUGUAUUUUUUAAAAAAAAUCAUUUUUUCCAGCUGUUGAAUGACUUCAGGAAGCGUUCCCAAGGCCCCAUCUGAUGCAAAGUCCUCCACUGUGCUUCACCACUGCUUGUCUUUACCCUGAUCCCAGCACAAUGGCUCUGCUUGUUGUCUGGUUUGCCACGUCUGUUGUUAAUUUAAACCACCAGGAGGUCAGGGACGACUCUAUUUUGUUUGAAUGGCAUGUGUUCACCGGAAAAUAAUCUUCUCUCCAAUGUAGAAUCCUGAGCAUGAGAAUUCUCAAGACACACUAGGUCAAGAGUGAGAGGAAAGUACAAAAUAUAUGUUCACUGUC